GAGCGCCCCGCAAGGGGAGCGGCAGACGGGAGAGUAACACGUGGGAACGUACCCUUCGGUUCGGAACAACCCAGGGAAACUUGGGCUAAUACCGGAUACGUCCGUAAGGAGAAAGAUUCAUCGCCGAGGGAUCGGCCCGCGUCUGAUUAGCUAGUUGGUGAGGUAAUGGCUCACCAAGGCGACGAUCAGUAGCUGGUCUGAGAGGAUGAUCAGCCUCACUGGGACUGAGACACGGCCCAGACUCCUACGGGAGGCAGCAGUGGGGAAUAUUGGACAAUGGGCGCAAGCCUGAUCCAGCCAUGCCGCGUGGGUGAUGAAGGCCUUCGGGUUGUAAAGCUCUUUCGCCCGCGACGAUGAUGACGGUAGCGGGAGAAGAAGCCCCGGCUAACUUCGUG
rnacentral:rRNA from 1 species